rnacentral:rRNA from 1 species
CUACGCACUCCUACGGGAGGCAGCAGUGGGGAAUAUUGCACAAUGGGCGCAAGCCUGAUGCAGCCAUGCCGCGUGUAUGAAGAAGGCCUUCGGGUUGUAAAGUACUUUCAGCAGUGAGGAAGGUGGGUAUGUUAAUAGCAUAUUCAUUUGACGUUAGCUGCAGAAGAAGCACCGGCUAACCCCGUGCCAGCAGCCGCGGUAAUACGGAGGGUGCGAGCGUUAAUCGGAAUUACUGGGCGUAAAGCGCAUGCAGGUGGUUUGUUAAGUCAGAUGUGAAAGCCCGGGGCUCAACCUCGGAAUUGCAUUUGAAACUGGCAAACUAGAGUACUGUAGAGGGGGUAGAAUUUCAGGUGUAGCGGUGAAAUGCGUAGAGAUCUGAAGGAAUACCGGUGGCGAAGGCGGCCCCCUGGACAGAUACUGACACUCAGAUGCGAAAGCGUGGGGAGCAAACAGGAUUAGAUACCCUGGUAG